rnacentral:lncRNA from 1 species
CGUACUCAUUCCUGGUCACAAUGGAUCAAAAUGCAAGCAGUGAUUAUUACAUUGUUGCGAGUCCACGCUUUGUUAAUUCCUCCGGUUGGUCGAAGUCGGUAGGAGUUUCUGUCUUGCAUUAUUCAAAUUCACAAGGACCUGCUUCAGGCCCUCUUCCAGACCCUCCUAAUGAAUCAGUAGGAGUUGCUGUCUUGCAUUACUCGAAUUCACAAGGACCUGCUUCAGGCCCUCUUCCAGACCCUCCUAAUGAAUCUGACACAUUUUUCUCAAUGAGUCAAGCGAGAUCCAUAAGGUUGUAGAGUUUAGUCUUUAUUCUUUGUUAAAUUAUGUGAUCGCACCAAGUUAAUUGUGUGCAUCAUUACUUAUCAAAAAUGUGUAUCAUCUGCUUCUAUUUAAUUUG